rnacentral:lncRNA from 1 species
ACAAAUGGGUUGCUAAGAGACAUUGAUGUGAGGAAGAGAUGGACUGCUGAGUUGAGAACAGCAGGGAACCGCUCCUGGGGCCACAGACAGCAGGCCCAAGCAGCUCUGUGACUCUGAGUUUUGGUCCCAUGUUCAUUAGUUUGACAGGAUGAUCAUUAUAAAAUAUCCCAGGCCAUGUGACUUAAACAGUGGGGACUCAUUUCCUCACAGGACUAGAAGCAGAAGUUCAAGAUCAAGUUAUAGGCAGGGUUGCUCUCUCUGACUUACCAAGGGAGUCUUCUCCAUUGCUUCGGCCUGGUCUAUCCCUCCGUGUGGUCUCUGUUCUGCUUGAAAGACCCUCAGAGCGAGGAGCCUCCACAAAUUGGACAGUUUCCCCCAAAAAACUCAAUGUCCAGUCCAGCUGAUGUAAAAACAAGAGUUCUCAGGGUACUCCAUGGAUUGAACUCAGCAGAAGCCUGGGAGCAGUGGGGUGUGCAAUGCAAUUCUGGGUCAGCUUCCUCCGGCAGAAGAAAACGACACAGGCCAGGUGUGCUGGCCUAUACUUUUAACUCACUACUUCGGAGACUGAGACAGGAGGAUCUCCGUGAGUUCGGGGCCAGACUGGUCUACAGAGACGAUGGAGACAGGUGAAGCAGAGCAGACUGACACCGAGAAGGGCUCCGAAAUUUGAAAUAAGUCUCUCAGUCUACACGUUUAAUAAAUCAAG